rnacentral:lncRNA from 1 species
AAAUGCAACUUAGAUAAUUAGAGGCUAUACCGACAGUCUCUAGAGUAAGUGGCAAAGGGUUUGGUGGUUGAUAUCCGAGACCCAAGUUCGAAUCCUAGUUGAUUCACAUUUCCAGCUAAGUUUAUUUCUAAAUGAAAUAAACGAAACGGGUAGCGUGCUACCUAUCUUUCAAAAAAAAAAAAAAAAGAGAAAAAAAAGAUAAUUAGAGGCUAUAUUAAAAUAAGUUCUUCAUAUUAUUAAUUAUUAUUAUUACUUGUACCUCCUCAAUCUUUAAUAUUUUUAAGAUAUUAUUUUUAAAGUUUAGUUAAUCUGAUUUGUUUUUAUUAAAUAUUAGUAAACUUAAUACUUCUAUUAGCUAUAUUAUCUUUAAUUAUUAUAUGCUUAUUUAUUAAAUUAUAGGCAAUUGCAUAUGUAAUAGAAUUACUCCAGAUUAAUUUAGUAAAUUUCUUUAUUUAUUUAACUAAAGUUAUACAAAAAAAAAAAUCAAAAAAAGCAAAAAUGUGUGGCUAUCACAAAAUAGACUAUAGUGAAAGCGAGUCAUUCUGUCAUUACUAUCUUCUGGUGCAAUAACAAUAUUCAAUCCCACAACAUCUGAUAGAGGGUUUUUUUUUUUUUUUUGGUUUCUUAGCCUCCGGGCCUAAGUUGUCUCACACUUAUAGCUUAAUUCACCAAUCUAUUGAAUGAAGCGAGUAGCGUGCUACCUAUUUCUCAAAAAAAAAAAAAAUCAAUCAAAAAAUCUUUAUAUU